UUUCAUACUUAAUUUAUAUUUCAUUAUAAACAUAUGUUAAUUUAUAUUUAAUAUAAUAUUUGAUUUAUAUUUCAUCACAAAUAUAUUUUUAUAUUUCUUUCUUUCUUUUUUUCUAGCAGACACUCCGAAUGAUCAUAUAUACAAAGAGCUAAAUACGUCACCGACAAAUGUAUAUGAUACAAUCAUUCUUGGGGGAGAGCAACAGCCGCCAGCGUUAACGGAUGACAAAGUAUACAGCCGCGUGAUAACCAUACAAAUGCCAUAUAAUGGUGUAAAUACAACAUCCAGUAAAUACAUACAAUAAAUACACACUCUUACUCGCAGUGCUAUGUGAUACAUUUGUAAUCCUGUCUAUACAUCCAGUUAUUGUAUAAAUGUAAAUAUCUCCUUAGUUUCUACAAAAGAUGCCAUUCUCAGUAACAUACUGUACACCCCAAGGUUUCAGGUAUCUAAACCAGGACAUGGUUAUUGGUGAGCGAAGCUACAACCAGGUGAGGCUGGGCUUUAGGUGGGACCAGGGGCACCUUUCAUACCCUUUGCAGGCUAGUGAAUAAAAUUGAUUAUAUAAUCCAACAUAAUAUUAAAAUAAUGAAGAAUACCAUGUAUACAUACAAA